rnacentral:rRNA from 1 species
UACGGAGGGUGCGAGCGUUGUUCGGAAUCACUGGGCGUAAAGGGAGCGUAGGCGGGUUUUUAAGUCAGGUGUUUAAUCCCGGGGCCCAACCCCGGACCGGCACUUGAAACUGGGAAUCUUGAAUAGGGGAGAGGUCAGUGGAAUUGGAGGUGUAGCGGUGGAAUGCGUAGAGAUCUCCAAGAACACCAGUUGCGAAGGCGGCUGACUGGACCCAUAUUGACGCUGAGGCUCGAAAGCAUGGGGAGCAAACAGG